rnacentral:rRNA from 1 species
GACGAACGCUGGCGGCGUGCUUAACACAUGCAAGUCGAACGGGAUUUAGUAAACGGAAGCCUCGGUGGAAGAUUACUAAUGAGAGUGGCGAACGGGUGAGUAACGCGUGAGCAACCUGCCUAUGACAGUGGGAUAGCCUCGGGAAACCGGGAUUAAUACCGCAUAAAAUCGUAGAAACACAUGUUUCAACGGUCAAAGAUUUAUCGGUCAUAGAUGGGCUCGCGUCUGAUUAGCUAGUUGGUGAGAUAACAGCCCACCAAGGCGACGAUCAGUAGCCGGUCUGAGAGGAUGAACGGCCACGUUGGAACUGAGACACGGUCCAAACUCCUACGGGAAGCAGCAGUGGGGAAUAUUGCACAAUGGGGGAAACCCUGAUGCAGCGACGCCGCGUGAACGAAGAAGGUAUUCGUAUCGUAAAGUUCUGUCCUAUGGGAAGAUAAUGACAGUACCAUAGAAGAAAGCUCCGGCUAAAUACGUG